GACGAACGCUGGCGGCGUGCUUAACACAUGCAAGUCGAACGGAAAGGCCUGCUUUCCCUUGUGGUUUGCGGGUACUCGAGUGGCGAACGGGUGAGUAACACGUGAGUGAUCUGCCCCCAACUUGGGUAUAAGCCUGGGAAACUGGGUCUAAUUCCCGAUAGGACUGCAGGGUGGUGCCUGUGGUGGAAAACGAUUUUCUAGUGGUUGGGGAUGAGCUCGCGGCCUAUCAGCUUGUUGGUGGGGUAAUGGCCUACCAAGGCGGCGACGGGUAGCCGGCCUGAGAGGGUGGACAGCCGCAUUGGGACUGAGAGACGGCCCAGACGCCUACGGGAGGCAGCAGUGGGGAAUAUUGCACAAUGGGCGGAAGCCUGAUGCAGCGACGCCGCGUGGGGGAUGACGGCCUUCGGGUUGUAAACUCCUUUCGACCGAGAGGAAGCCACCUGGUUGGAAGGGUGGUGACGGUAGUGGUAGAAGAAGCACCGGCUAACUACGUG
rnacentral:rRNA from 1 species